rnacentral:rRNA from 2 species
UGGGGAAUAUUGGUCAAUGGGGGAAACCCUGAACCAGCAACGCCGCGUGAAGGAAGAAGGCUUUCGGGUUGUAAACUUCUUUGACGGGGGAAGAAAAAAAUGACGGUACCCCGAAAACAAGCCACGGCUAACUACGUGCCAGCAGCCGCGGUAAUACGUAGGUGGCGAGCGUUGUCCGGAUUUACUGGGUGUAAAGGGCGCGUAGGCGGGAUUACAAGUCAGGUGUGAAAUUUAUGGGCUCAACCCAUAAACUGCAUUUGAAACUGUAGUUCUUGAGUGAUGGAGAGGCAGGCGGAAUUCCUAGUGUAGCGGUGAAAUGCGUAGAUAUUAGGAGGAACACCAGUGGCGAAGGCGGCCUGCUGGACAUUAACUGACGCUGAGGCGCGAAAGCGUGGGGAGCGAACAGG